UACAGAGGUCUCAAGCGUUGUUCGGAUUCAUUGGGCGUAAAGUGUGCGUAGGUGGCGGGGCAAGUCUGGUGUGAAAUCCCGGGGCUCAACCCCGGAACUGCACUGGAUACUGCCUUGCUAGAGCACUGGAGAGGGAACUGGAAUUUACGGUGUAGCAGUGAAAUGCGUAGAUAUCGUAAGGAAGACCAGUGGCGAAGGCGAGUUCCUGGACAGUUGCUGACACUGAGGCACGAAGGCUAGGGGAGCAAACGGG
rnacentral:rRNA from 1 species